rnacentral:rRNA from 1 species
UACGUAGGUGGCAAGCGUUGUCCGGAUUCACUGGGCGUAAAGCGCGCGCAGGCGGUCUUCUACGUCUGGGGUGAAAACCCGGGGCUCAACCCCGGGACUGCCUUGGAUACGGGAAGACUUGAGGAUUGGAGAGGCAAGGGGAAUUCCACGUGUAGCGGUGAAAUGCGUAGAGAUGUGGAGGAACACCUGUGGCGAAGGCGGCUUGCUGGCCGAUUGCUGACGCUGAGACGCGAAAGCGUGGGGAGCAAACAGG